AUUGAACGCUAGCGGGAUGCCUUACACAUGCAAGUCGAACGGAGUGGCGAACGGGUGAGUAAUGUAUCGGUACGUGCCCAGUAGCGGGGGAUAACUACGAGAAAGCGUAGCUAAUACCGCAUACUCUUGGAGCGGCCGAUACGGGAAUAGCUAGUUGGUUGGGUAACGGCGCACCAAGGCGACGAUCCGUACCUGGUUUGAGAGGAUGACCAGCCACACUGGGACUGAGACACGGCCCAGACUCCUACGGGAGGCAGCAGUGGGGAAUUUUGGACAAUGGGGGAAACCCUGAUCCAGCCAUCCCGCGUGUGCGAUGAAGGCCUUCGGGUUGUAAAGCACUUUUGGCAGGAAAGCGGUACCUGCAGAAGAAGCACCGGCUAACUACGUGCCAGCAGCCGCGGUAAUUC
rnacentral:rRNA from 1 species